rnacentral:lncRNA from 1 species
CUUUGUCCAAAAGUUGGGCAUGUCCCUUCUCCAUCUCCUCCAAAGAUGUCCAAAAGGUGGACAUGAUUAAAAUCAGAUUUGAUCUGAUUUAUUUUUUUUGAUCUAUGAGAUGAAUGGUUCUCCUCUUCCUCUCCUCAAGUCAAGUCCAAGAGUUGGACAAGAUGGAAGAAGAAAAAGAUUAAAUCUCUUGUCUUCUUCAGUAGAUCUUUGAUUUUCUUUUAGAAGA